GGCGGACGUUGCGACGGCGCGCGGGGAGCUGCUGCGGGGUCGGAGGUUGCGACGGCACGGAGCAGAGUGCAACGCGCGGAGCGCGGCGGCGGCGAGCGCGAGCAGGCUCAUCGCGAGGGAACCAGCAGCGUGGGCCUUCGCGGGAGCUGCAGCAUCCGUGGGACCGGAGGCGCGGCCUGCACCAAGCGGCGUCCUGCGCCGGAGUGGCGGCGGCGUAAGUCGCGAGCCCAUGGAGCGCGAGGAGCGGCGAGCGCGAGUAGGCUCAUCUGCAGCGGGUCGCAGGAGCGACGGGUCUUGCGGGCUGCGGCUGCGGCGGACGGUGCACAGCGGCUUUGAUGGCCGGAGAGCAGUAGCUACGUACAGCCGACAGGUGGAUGCUACUGCGGCGCGCGACGCACAGCCGCGGGGAGCACGGCGCAGCCCAGACACGGACGGGAAGCAACGCGCAGGCAGCAGCAGGAGAAGCUAAAAAGUCGCUUGCAAGGAGAUGCUCUGGAAGAAGUGUAAAUUACUGAGCUAGCAAAAGAAGAAGGCUCAACCCAACCACAAAAUGUAUCAGACAUGUGGAUUACUGAAAAAGGACCACUUGGCCCUUAUGGCAAUCACACAGCCCUACACAUCUAGGAUGUAUAGUGGAGUAGCACAAAUAAGUGUGGGAUUUAUUGGGUCUACAUAUUACUAAAUAAAAUUGAAUCUCUAGAUUACUGAAUACAACAUAUAUAUUGGUGAGGUA